ACGAAGGGGGCUAGCGUUGUUCGGAAUCACUGGGCUUAAAGGGCGCGUAGGCGGCUUGCCAAGUCAGGGGUGAAAUCUUUCGGCUCAACCGGAAAACGGCCCCUGAUACUGGCGGGCUCGAGGGGGGUAGGGGCGGACGGAACUUCCGGUGGAGCGGUGAAAUGCGUAGAUAUCGGAAGGAACGCCGGUGGCGAAAGCGGUCCGCUGGACCCCCACUGACGCUGAGGCGCGAAAGCCAGGGGAGCAAACGGGA
rnacentral:rRNA from 1 species